rnacentral:lncRNA from 1 species
GGGAAAUAUAAGUUGAAGGCUAAUAAACCACUAUAUACAUAAAAUUCACAUCAAAAUAUACCCCAUGUAAACAUCUACUGAUGAUCUGAAAGCUACAAAGUCAUAUACACAUAAAUCGUCUGAUCAACACUCUGUACACGGCCGUAGCCCCUCAGUGUACAAGAUGAAAACAACAUAAUCAUCCUUAUACACGGCUGUAGCCCCUUAGUGUACAAUAGGUACCCUUACACACAGCCAUAGCCCCUCAGUAGAUAAGAGUUACCCUUACACACGGUUGUAGCCCCUCAAUGUAUAAUAGGUACCCUUACACACGGCCGUAGCCCCUCAGUGGAUAAGAGUUAUCCUUACACACGGCCGUAGCCCCUUAGCGUAUAAAAGUUAAAUACAUGACUCUAGUACGCGGCUGUAUCCCCUCAGUGCACUAGAGUAAGAUAAUCACAUCAAUUGUUUUUUGAUAAUUUCAAAACAAUCAUGCUCAUUUACUAAUUUCUCGAAAAUAAGACAUUUCAGAUAAUUAAUAUACUUCUAUAAAAUAAAAAGUAAAAAAAAAAGGAAAUCCCUUUUUUUUUUUUAAUUGGAAAAGUAGGUUCUCCACUCACAUAUCUAUGUAUUGCAAUCUCGUUAAAUUUCCCAGUCUUGCCCAACUUUCACGUCACCACCUGAAAUACGAUGUAAAAUAACUAAUUUAACAAAUUUCAUACUAAGUAUUUCUUAAUAUUAAUAGUCGAAUACUAAAACUUGACUUCUCGAUACUUUGAAUUAUUUUUCCAAAUUUUCCUUUAAUCAAUAAGAGCUAAUUAUACAUUCUAAUACCUUCACAAAUAUAUACUACAUCCAAAUUUACCUUCAUCCCACUUAUAAAAAUAAUUAUACCUUCCAAUCUAAAGAAAACUAGUAACAAUGAUUCCACCUAUUUUUAUUUUUAUCUUGUUUCUCAAAUUCA